UACGUAGGGAGCAAGCGUUGUCCGGAAUCAUUGGGCGUAAAGCGCGCGUAGGUGGCCUCAUAAGUCCGCUGUGAAAGUCAAAGGCUCAACCUUUGAAAGCCGGUGGAUACUGUGGGGCUAGAGUACGGAAGAGGCGAGUGGAAUUCCUGGUGUAGCGGUGAAAUGCGCAGAUAUCAGGAAGAACACCCGUGGUGAAGGCGGCUCUCUGGGACGGUACUGACGCUGAGACGCGAAAGCGUGGGGAGCGAACAGG
rnacentral:rRNA from 1 species